rnacentral:lncRNA from 1 species
CAUAAUCCCGAAGACCAAUAGGGCGAAAUACCCUUCUCAGUCAAUCAAUCAGGAAAAUGGCUGUUGGGUCUGCUUCGAUCCCGAGGAAGGCCUCGAGACAUGUCUUUAAAGUGUAGACUUCUUUCUAACUUGAUCGGUCUGUCAGUCUGACCACUUCGGUAUAGGAUUCUAAGCAGUAUGCCUUCUACCCUUUUCCGACCAUGGUCAGGUAUUCUCUGGGCAACAAAAAUCAAUCUUCUUCCAGCAUCAUCCUGGGCUCUCGAACAAGAACUCUCAGAAACCUGCUUGGAAGCAGUACCAGCAUGAGCAUUCUUUGAAGGACCCAAUCAAUCCUUG